GACGAACGCUGGCGGCGCGCCUAACACAUGCAAGUCGAACGAGGUCCAUCCUUCGGGAGAAGACCUAGUGGCGAACGGGUGAGUAACACGUGAGAAACCUGCCCCGAAGACCGGGAUAACUCUCCGAAAGGAGUGCUAAUACCGGAUGCACCCACCGAACCGCAUGGUUUGGUGAGGAAAUGGAUUCCGCUUCGGGAGGGUCUCGCGGCCUAUCAGCUAGUUGGUGGGGUAACGGCCCACCAAGGCAUCGACGGGUAGCUGGUCUGAGAGGACGGUCAGCCACACUGGGACUGAGACCAGGCCCAGACUCCUGCGGGAGGCAGCAGUGGGGAAGCUUGCGACAUGGGCGAAAGCCUGGCGCAGCAACGCCGCGUGGGGGAUGAAGGCUCUCGGGUUGUAAACCCCUUUCAGCAGGGACGAACUAAGACGGUACCUGCAGAAGAAGCUCCGGCUAACUACGUGCCAGCAGCCGCCGUAAGAC
rnacentral:rRNA from 1 species